AGGCUGCGCCCUUGGCCGCGACAGAGAAGGGCUUGCCUUUUAUUCCUACGCUUCAGGGACACAUGUCCGACGCGGCUCGGGGCCUCAGCGAAAUCUGCCACCAGGUUCUCCUGUGGGCUUCACCUCUUCCUGGGACCCAAGACCCGGGCUCGGGCAGUAAAGUGCGAGGCGGCGACCUCUCUUUUCCUGCCGGACUUCCCACCCCACCUCCCCACCCCCGCCUGAGAAAUUGUGAGAAACGUGCGAGCGUGCAGGGGCCGUAAAGGCGCCGGGCCGUGCCCUGCCCAACCCGGGCACCGCCCUGACUGCGGAUUCGCUCCUGUGGGUUUCCGGGCUGACGGGGCAGACUCGGAGUAGCGGAGCUCAACCCCUGGGAUCCUCCCAGCCGCAGAAAGGAAUACUAGUUUACAGGAUCAACAGGAAGGCUAAAGAAUUAAGGAAGAUUGUUUCAGGAAACACCACCAGAUCACACUACAAGAAAGCCUGUUCCUGAGCAUAGAAAGAAUGAUAACCAUGGAAUGGUUUUACACUGGGCCCGCUGUAAGGCAGAUAAGUUCCAUGAGCCUCCACUCUGAUGGACCACGGGGACCUUCAUGUUAGCUGAAAGACAGUGACUAAUAAUCUCUCAAAAAGAAGCCAGCCCUCCUCCAGCUCCGGGUGAGCCCCAGACCUGCCACGCUGUGCCUGCCUUGCCCAAGCCACGCUCCAGCUGGGACAUGGUCUUUCCGGUCUCUGCAGGCUGAGACACCUGAGGCUUUAAUUACUUCAAAGCCUUUCUGGAAGCAGGUGAGAUAAGUGCUGAGGCAGUUGGUCCAAGGGCCACACUCGGAGUUGCAAGAGGCUGGAGAAAUGGGCAUCACAGUUCACCUGGGAAGAAGAGAAGAGAUGCUGAAAGGGAGGCUGCAACCUGAAGACAGGAUUCCCAACCUCACCAGGACCUAAGUAGAGGGGCAAGCUCACUGGAGUGGUCCAGUGAGAAAAGCAGAGCAUGGGCUCUGUGGUUCCAGGAAGAAGGUCUGGUUCUGAUCACCCGCAAACUGCUACACUGGGCUGUGCCUUAGCCCCCUGCCUCAUGUCCCCAUCUGCUCAAUGGGCAUUGUGACUCCCAAUGUCUAUGCCUCAAGGUUGUUCUGGGGAUUGAAUGUGAGGGUCUCGGCACACAGCGAAACUACUUUUUGAAAUGACUGAGGCUCCUGUCAAGAGUUUCAGAUGACUUACAAAGAUUGUGUUUUCCUGUUUUUUAUUAUCAUGGCUGUACUCUUCAUGAAACCAUUUUUGCUUUAUUUAUUCAAUCAUUCAGUCAUUCAACAGUUAUAUGUUGAAAGCCCACCAUGUGCUUCUAAAGAAUUUGUUGCCUGAAUUCUCCUGUCUCAUGGAAUCCAGAUUCACAGAAGGUUAAAGCUGAAGAAAAGAAAAAGGCCAGCUGGAUCUUGGCUCCACUUGCCAAGUCCAGAGUCUCCAUUUGUCUUUCUCCACCCAGUAUGCUCCCUCCCUCUGACCUCCCUCUCCAGCUGGAUCUGCAGGAGAGAAAACUGGCCAAAACUUCAGCCAUAUCCUGAUUGUCCUCCCAGGGACAGGGGCUAUGGAAUUCCUGCUCAUCCUUAAACUUACUUAUACAAACACAUUUAUAGGCACAGUCACAGGAGUUUUGAAAUCAAAUCAAGGUGGUUUCUUCCCAACAGAUAAAAGGAAAAGAGAAAGAAAUCAAUGCUGUUGCCUUCUGUUGGGCCACGGACCCUUUAGGAAUCUGAUAACAAUACGUGAUGCCAUCACUAUUCAAAAAAAAAAAACUCCACACUUAAGCACACCUGUGCCCCCAGCUGCAGGGGAUUCUGGACACUGGGUUAAGAAUGCCAGGUCUAGAGGCUCCUUUAAGCUUAGGGAUACAGAGAAAAUACAGCCAGACAACAGGUUAAGGUGGUGAGUACGAUGAAGAUCCCUAGUUUUCAGUGUUAUCACACUGUUCGUAUACCCUCAAGUCCCCAGCUCCAUCAGUGGCCACUCACAGCCACCCUUUACAGCAUCCCGCAUGUCAGGUGCAGACUUGCCCAGCCGGGGCAUCCCUGUCAGCUGCUUCUCCUAGGACCCUCGGGCAUCUCAGUGCAUUAUGCCAUUGGUAUGGAAACCCUGAACCACUUCUUUCUGGUCUGUGGCUGAUUUCACUUUGAGUGGCCAGGGCUCCCACAAGUGUCCUCCAACAUUAUUCUCAGUCUUCCUCCUCUUAAGCUUAGGCUAGCACAAAAAAUAACGCACCUUUUUCCCCAGCACAGAAGUCCACAGACCUUUACUCAGAACCCAGAGGGAGUGGAAGGAAAUACACAAGAAGAUCCAAAAGCAUAAAAAUGGUUCACCAUCUCCAGGACAUCUCCUUGACCCCGGAUCCUGGACACAAGCUGGUGGCCCCAGGUCUUGGUUUCUGCCCUCCUAUCUCCUUAUCCCUGUCUCAAGGACUGCCUUUCUUAAAUGAUCCCUUUACUGCCUUUUUUCUCAGGUUCCCUCUAACUCUUCCCUCUGUCACUGUCUUCCUCGGGGGCUGUGUAUGAGGAAGAUGCAACUGUCCCCAGGAACAGAGAAGAAAAUGCUAGUUUUCUACCAAUAUCUGCUCUUCUUUCUUUUCUUUCUUUCUCUCUCUUUCUUUCUUCCUUCCUUCCUUCCUUCCUUCCUUUUUUGGUUUGAAAAACAACUUUUAAUUUAUUAAGUUUUUAACGCUCAGGCUUUUUUUUUUUUUGCAUCCAGUUUGGGGAGGGGGUUUCUCAUCCCCUUUGAAACCUACCCUAGACUCUCUAUCUUUUUUU